GUGAAGUUGGAUAGUUGACUAACUGAGCCACCCAGGCACCCCUAACAGUGCAAAUUCUUAGACCUCACUCAGACCUUCAAAUCAGAGACGGCUGGUGGGCCCAGCCAUUUGUGGUUUAACAAGCUCUCCAGGUGAUUCUGAUGCUCACUCAAAUUUGAGAACAGCUGGGAAUAAUCCCAUUAUAAAAGCUUGACUCUCAGCCACCAGAGCUAUCGCUGGAGAAGAACCUUGACAGCUCAAUCCUGGUUCCUGGAGGUCACUACUAGACAUAAUUGUCCAUCCUUAAAGAAUGAUGUACCUAUUAUUGGAAAAUGGAUGAGACAUUUGGAGGUCUUUCUUGAAAUAUUUUAGGUUCAGAUGAAAAGAGAAAAAAGAUCUAAGGAUACUUUGGAAAACAGUUUGGCAACUUCAUCGUCACAAAAUAUUGCUUCUGAGAAAGCACAUCACCUAUGCCUUGAACACAUGAACUAUGAGAUCACUACCUAAGCAGAAGAUGCUUAACUGACCGAGCCACCCAGGCGCCCCCGGAGAGUCACUUUAGUUCACUGCUGUACUCCAGUGUUUUUAGCAAUGCCUGCUAAAUAGAAGGUGCUCGCAAAUAUUUGUUGAAUGAAUAACCGUGUGAAAGAUUGAGAGAUUACUUAAUUUCUCUGUGGAAGUAGAGUAAAACACUAUAAGAAAGAUUUUUACUAGAUUUUCAAAACUUGUUUAUAAGAGAUCUACUUUACCAUUUGCACAUUUUGUUUCUAAAAUAUACAGAUUAUCAUAUAAUAGAAAGGAUGUCUUUUCCAGGUCUAGGAAAAUUAUAUGAAAUUACAUGUAUUAAUUACAUAAAAUUAUCUAUUUCCCAUAUUUAAUCAAAAAGUUGGUUUGAAAAUAAUGUUUAUAUAUAUUAUUUGAAAGAUACUGAGUUUAUCAAUUCCUAUAAAUAUUCUAAGCUGUAUUCCAAGAUCCAGCUGAAUCCCUUGACCUCAACGUAUUCUUUUUUUUGAUCUCAAUGUACUAGCAUUCAAUAUGUACAACCAACCAAUUUUGGGUUUCAUCUUUACAAAAUUUCACUAUGAUAUUAUCCAUUUCACCUCUGUGUUACUCAUAUGAAUGAAUAUCCAUCUGAAAUAUUUCAAAAUCUGUUUAAAGAUUUUUUUUCUUCAUUAAACUGGUUGUUCACUUCCAUAUGGCAAUGAGAACACAAGAGAGGUUGAGUUUUACUUUGAUUUUGUUAGGUUGCAAAGAAUCCUAGUAAUAAAUUUUUAGUUCAAUCUUAGGAAUGAUCUUGGCUCUGUUUUUCUUGUCUCCAAACUUCUAAUAUUUUCUCACUUCAAGGGUUUAUA